UCUGAGCUGAGUUACUCCAGCUUGUGACCCAAGUGGGAGCAUCAAUGUGAUGGAACAACACCGAGACUUGCUGGGUUGGGCUGUGUCUGCAAUAUGUUGGCCUGCCCAUUCCAAGUUGAGAGUUAAGUCUGGGGAUCUUAGUGAAGGCAUAGGUCUCUUUACUCUUAGAGUGGAGGGCACAGCGUGAGGCUGGUUUCACAGAGCAGCGAGGGAUCACAGGCUGCUGCACCCACAGAUCCUAAUGGCCUGGUGAGUCUAGUUUGCUUGGACCAUCACUUUU
rnacentral:SRP_RNA from 1 species